rnacentral:rRNA from 1 species
UACGGAGGGUGCGAGCGUUAAUCGGAAUUACUGGGCGUAAAGCGCACGUAGGCGGUCAGGCAAGUCGGGUGUGAAAGCCCUGGGCUCAACCUGGGAAUUGCAUUCGAAACUAUCUGACUCGAGUAUGGGAGAGGGAAGCGGAAUUUCCGGUGUAGCGGUGAAAUGCGUAGAUAUCUGGAGGAACACCGGUGGCGAAGGCGGCAUCCUGGACCGGUAUUGACGCUGAGGCGCGAAAGCUAGGGGAGCAAACGGG